rnacentral:misc_RNA from 1 species
AGUUAUCUUAAUUCAUUAAACUAAGGGAGGGCUAGGGCCUGAUUCGUGAAUUUGCAACAAACACAUCAACAAAAUGAGGGAAAUUGUGCAUAUGCAAGCUGGCCAGUGCGGAAACCAGAUUGGUGCUAAAUUCUGGGAAGUGAUAUCUGAUGAACACGGCAUUGACCCAACAGGAACCUAUCAUGGAGACUCAGACUUGCAGUUAGAAAGAAUUAAUGUCUACUACAAUGAAGCAACAGGUGGAAAAUAUGUACCUCGUAGCAUUCUUAUCGAUCUUGAGCCAGGAACCAUGGACUCAGUCCGAUCAGGCCCAUUCGGACAAAUUUUCAGACCAGACAACUUCGUGUUCGGACAAAGCGGAGCAGGAAACAACUGGGCCAAGGGCCACUACACAGAGGGAGCCGAAUUGAUCGACUCAGCUUUGGAUGUUGUCAGAAAGGAGGCGGAAAGCUGUGACUGUAUUCAGGGAUUUCAACUUACACACUCAUUGGGCGGGGGCACUGGUGCUGGUAUGGGAACACUACUCAUCAGCAAAAUCCGCGAGGAAUACCCCGACAGAAUCAUGAACACUUUUUCCGUUGUCCCAUCUCCAAAAGUAUCCGACACCGUGGUGGAACCCUACAACGCUACCCUCUCUGUUCACCAACUUGUCGAGAACACCGACGAAACAUACUGCAUUGAUAACGAGGCUCUAUAUGACAUCUGCUUCCUCGUCUCCACUUCUUCAUGCCUGGAUUUGCUCCAUUGACAUCACGUGGUAGCCAGCAGUACAGGGCUCUGACCGUCCCAGAACUGACCCAGCAGAUCUUCGAUGCCAAGAACAUGAUGGCUGCCUGCGAUCCACGUCACGGAAGAUACUUAACUGUCAGCGCCCUCUUCCGUGGACGCAUGUCAAUGAAAGAGGUUGACGAACAGAUGUUGAACGUCCAGAACAAGAACAGCAGCUACUUCGUGGAAUGGAUCCCCAACAACGUCAAGACCGCCGUCUGUGACAUCCCACCACGUGGUCUGAAAAUGUCCGCCACCUUCGUCGGAAACACAACUGCCAUCCAGGAACUCUUCAAACGCGUGUCUGAACAAUUCACUGCCAUGUUCCGUCGUAAGGCUUUCUUGCAUUGGUACACUGGUGAGGGUAUGGACGAGAUGGAGUUUACUGAGGCCGAGUCCAACAUGAACGACUUGGUGUCUGAGUACCAACAGUACCAAGACGCCACCGCCGAGGAGGAGGGCGAGUUUGAGGAGGAAGAGGGAGAAGAGGAGGCGCAAUAAACAUUAAAUUAACGCAGCAAUUUUAGGUCAUCCGUCCAUUUAUAUUUAUACUAGUUACACUGAAAAUUAUAGGCGAUAUUAGGACAAUCUAAUUAACAAUUUUAACACGCAAUGAGCUGUUGACAUGUCAUCUUCAGUACACAAAUUAUCUUGUACGAAAGCUCUGAACAUAAAAUAAACAGGAUAUCAAAAU